GGCCUGAUAGCUCAGUUGGUAGAGCAGACGCCUGAAGAGCGUCGUGUCGUUGGUUCGAUUCCGACUCAGGCCACCA
rnacentral:tRNA from 5 species